rnacentral:rRNA from 1 species
GAGUAACACGUGGGUAAUCUACCUCUGAGUGGGGAAUAACCCUGGGAAACCGGGGCUAAUACCGCAUAAUCUCGAGAGAGGAAAGCAGCAAUGCGCUGAGAGAGGAGCCCGCGGCCGAUUAGCUAGUUGGUAGGGUAAGAGCCUACCAAGGCAGAGAUCGGUAGCCGGCCUGAGAGGGCACACGGCCACACUGGCACUGAAACACGGGCCAGACUCCUACGGGAGGCAGCAGUGGGGAAUCUUGCACAAUGGGGGAAACCCUGAUGCAGCGACGCCGCGUGAGCGAUGAAGCCCUUCGGGGUGUAAAGCUCUUUCGUCAGGGAAGAUCAUGACGGUACCUGGAGAAGCAGCUGCGGCUAACUACGUGCCAGCAGCCGCGGUAAUACGUAGGCAGCGAGCGUUGUUCGGAGUUACUGGGCGUAAAGGGUGUGUAGGCGGUUCUUUAAGUUUGGUGUGAAAUCUCCCGGCUCAACCGGGAGGGUGCGCCGAAUACUGAGGGACUUGGAGUGCGGGAGAGGAAAGUGGAAUUCCUGGUGUAGCGGUGAAAUGC